UACCAGCACCCCGAGUGGUCGGGGCGAUUAUUGGGCCUAAAGCAUCCGUAGCCGGUUCUGCAAGUCCUCCGUUAAAUCCAACUGCUUAACAGAUGGGCCGCGGAGGAUACUACAGAGCUAGGAGGCAGGAGAGGCAAGCGGUACUCAGUGGGUAGGGGUAAAAUCCGUUGAUCCAUUGAAGACCACCAGUGGCGAAGGCGGCUUGCCAGAAUGCGCUCGACGGUGAGGGAUGAAAGCUGGGGGAGCAAACCGG
rnacentral:rRNA from 1 species